UACGGAGGGUGCGAGCGUUGUCCGGAAUCACUGGGCGUAAAGGGCGCGGAGGCGGCUCAUGAAGGCUGUGGUGAAAGUCCGGGGCUCAACCUCGGAUCGGCCGUGGCGACUCGUGGGCUGGAGCACUGUAGAGGCGGGUGGAAUUCCGGGUGUAGCGGUGGAAUGCGUAGAGAUCCGGAAGAACACCAGUGGCGAAGGCGGCCCGCUGGGCAGUGGCUGACGCUGAAGCGCGACAGCGUGGGGAGCAAACAGG
rnacentral:rRNA from 1 species